rnacentral:rRNA from 1 species
GGUACCGAGUGGCGAACGGGUGAGUAACACGUGGGUAAUCUGCCCUGCACUUCGGGAUAAGCCUGGGAAACUGGGUCUAAUACCGAAUAGGACCAUUUAGCGCAUGCUUUAUGGUGGAAAGCUUUUGCGGUGUGGGAUGGGCCCGCGGCCUAUCAGCUUGUUGGUGGGGUGACGGCCUACCAAGGCGACGACGGGUAGCCGGCCUGAGAGGGUGUCCGGCCACACUGGGACUGAGAUACGGCCCAGACUCCUACGGGAGGCAGCAGUGGGGAAUAUUGCACAAUGGGCGCAAGCCUGAUGCAGCGACGCCGCGUGGGGGAUGACGGCCUUCGGGUUGUAAACCUCUUUCAGCAGGGACGAAGCGCAAGUGACGGUACCUGCAGAAGAAGCACCGGCCAACUACGUG